AUUGAACGCUGGCGGCAUGCUCUACACAUGCAAGUCGAACGUCAACAGGCCGCGCGGUGCUGCCGAGUGGCGUACGGGUGAGUAAUGCAUCGGAACGUGUCCAGUCGUGGGGGAUAACUCCUCGAAAGAGUAGCUAAUCCCGCAUACGAUCUAUGGAUGAAAGCGGGGGUCCGUAAGGCCUCGCGCGCUUGGAGCGGCCGAUGUCAGAUUAGGUAGUUGGUGGGGUAAAGGCUCACCAAGCCAACGAUCUGUAGCUGGUCUGAGAGGACGACCAGCCACAUAGGGACUGAGACACGGCCCAGGCGCCCACGGGAGGCAGCAGCGGGGAAAUUUGCACAGUGGGCGCAAGCCUGAUCCAGCGAUGCGGCGUGCAUGAAGAAUGCCCUCGGGUUGGAGACAGGUUUUGCGCGGGACGAAGCGGUUCUGGUUAAGUCCCGGGGCUAAGGACGGGACCGUAAGAUCAAACUCCUUCUAACUACGG
rnacentral:rRNA from 1 species